UCAAGGGUUUGGAUUUACCGGCAGGCCCAGCCCCAUGGGCCUCUCAUCAUGUCCCAUGCCAGAGCAAACUGUAGCCCUGAACCACUGCCUUGUCUCCUAGCCCAUAGGCUUCUGACACUGAAGCGGGUUGAACAGUG